CCAAACUUGGUCAUUUAGAGGAAGUAAAAGUCGUAACAAGGUCUCCGUUGGUGAACCAGCGGAGGGAUCAUUAUAGAGUUCUAAACAAACUCCCAAAACCCUGUGUGAACCUACCGCAUGUUGCCUCGGCGGCGCCGCGGCUACCCUGGAGCUACCCUGGAGCUACCCUGUAGACGCCUACCCUGUAGGCGCCUGCCCUGUAGACCUCCCGGCGCAGCCACCCGGGAGCUCGCGUUAAAGGCCCGCCAAAGGACCCCCAAACUCUGUUUUAUUUUGGCUAUUCUGAACGUAUCAACUUUAAAAUGAAUCAAAACUUUCAACAACGGAUCUCUUGGUUCUGGCAUCGAUGAAGAACGCAGC
rnacentral:misc_RNA from 1 species